rnacentral:rRNA from 1 species
ACCCAGACUCCUACGGGAGGCAGCAGUGGGGAAUAUUGCACAAUGGGGGGAACCCUGAUGCAGCGACGCCGCGUGAGUGAAGAAGUAUUUCGGUAUGUAAAGCUCUAUCAGCAGGGAAGAAAAUGACGGUACCUGACUAAGAAGCCCCGGCUAACUACGUGCCAGCAGCCGCGGUAAUACGUAGGGGGCAAGCGUUAUCCGGAUUUACUGGGUGUAAAGGGGGCGCAGACGGCGAUGCAAGCCAGGAGUGAAAGCCCGGGGCCCAACCCCGGGACUGCUCUUGGAACUGCGUGGCUGGAGUGCAGGAGGGGCAGGCGGAAUUCCUGGUGUAGCGGUGAAAUGCGUAGAUAUCAGGAGGAACACCGGUGGCGAAGGCGGCCUGCUGGACUGCAACUGACGUUGAGGCCCGAAAGCGUGGGGAGCAAACAGGAUUAGAUACCCUCGUAAGC